rnacentral:rRNA from 1 species
AUUGAACGCUUGCGGCAGGCCUAACACAUGCAAGUCGAGCGGAUGAAGGGAGCUUGCUCCUGGAUUCAGCGGCGGACGGGUGAGUAAUGCCUAGGAAUCUGCCUGGUAGUGGGGGAUAACGUCCGGAAACGGGCGCUAAUACCGCAUACGUCCUGAGGGAGAAAGUGGGGGAUCUUCGGACCUCACGCUAUCAGAUGAGCCUAGGUCGGAUUAGCUAGUUGGUGGGGUAAAGGCCUACCAAGGCGACGAUCCGUAACUGGUCUGAGAGGAUGAUCAGUCACACUGGAACUGAGACACGGUCCAGACUCCUACGGGAGGCAGCAGUGGGGAAUAUUGGACAAUGGGCGAAAGCCUUAUCCAGCCAUGCCGCGUGUGUGAAGAAGGUCUUCGGAUUGUAAAGCACUUUAAGUUGGGAGGAAGGGCAGUAAGUUAAUACCUUGCUGUUUUGACGUUACCAACAGAAUAAGCACCGGCUAACUUCGUG